AUUUGCCUCACUGAUGCAGACAGGAAGCUUCUGAGGACAAGAAAUGUCCCUUAUUACAUGCUUCUUCUCUGGGUAACCUCAUUUUGGUUUGAUGUCUAGACAGUAAUGCAGAGGAGAGCAUUAAUGAAAACGAAGAGCUGAAUUUUAGAAAGUUCUGCUCGACAGCCUCACAGCCGCCUUCACUAGAGAUGGAGCCAAGUCUUUGGGUUUUUAGAAGGUUGGCAUUUGCUGGAGCUUUGGAGUGAUUCAUUCGUUUUUCAUUUGGGCUUCAAUGAGCAGAUGACCUGAUUUGUGUGUGUACUCAUAGCGCACUGCUUUAGUUAAUGUACAAGGAAGCAGCAGAAAAAGGCACACUGAUUAUUUAUUUCUCAGAAGUUGCCCUGUACGGAUGGGAAAAAUAAAUAAAUAAAUAGGUCAUUUCAAGUGACCAGUAUGGAAAGAGAUCCCUCACAUUCAAAUUCCCUAACAACGCUGAGCCUAAGUAACAUCCCAAAAGAGCAUCUGCCAACUCUGCUUAUAAACGUCUGGGCCUAAGGUAUAUGUGUAUGUGACUUUCCUACAUAGACACUUCAAGCUGCUCGAGUGAUCUCUGUUCUGACCGUUAUGAAUCUUUGUUUACGUUGCCAUGACUUUGUAAAAGUGCCAAGAGAGAACAAGGCUGGCCUCCUGGUAAUGCUUGCUGUGAAUCACUGCCAUAUGCAGAGACUCUGAGUCAUCAAUUUGGGAAUCUUCAAACUGUUGAGGACCUACAUGUUGUUUCCUGCCCCAUGGUGGCCCAGGGGGAUGCAAUGGGAGAAGGAAAUGAUAGCCUGAGCCUGGAAGACCGAUUUCAGAGAAGUGACCAGUGUGCAGCCUGGUCCGCAUCAGUAGCACUGUCACUGCCAACAGGCCUGCAAAGGAAUGGAAGACAGCCUCACUGUGCCAGCACUGUAGAAAAAAUA
rnacentral:lncRNA from 1 species